rnacentral:rRNA from 1 species
UACGUAGGGUGCAAGCGUUGUCCGGAAUUAUUGGGCGUAAAGAGCUCGUAGGCGGCUCGUCGCGUCGGCUGUGAAAACCCGUGGCUUAACUGCGGGCUUGCAGCUGAUACGGGCGGGCUAGAGUUCGGUAGGGGAGACUGGAAUUCCUGGUGUAGCGGUGAAAUGCGCAGAUAUCAGGAGGAACACCGGUGGCGAAGGCGGGUCACUGGGCCGCAACUGACGCUGAGGAGCGAAAGCAUGGGGAGCGAACAGG